UUAUCUGCCCCUUCCAGCAGAGCCUUUCACCAAGGGAGAGCACAAACUCUCUGAAGGAUGUGCUUCCAGGCACUGGCCUGCCCUGCAGAGGAAGUAUCAACAGUCCUGCAGGAAACAAGUGAAAAGUUUGCUAUAAUGCUUCCCCGCAGAACUGGAGACUGUAAAGCCACUGUAAAUUGAAGGUAUCUGGAACCAACUAAACUAACAUUAAAGGAACAUUGGGUCAACACUGAUGGAAGACAUCCAUUCUUAUCUUUAAAUAUGCCUUUAAUCAGGAAGAAAUGCAAUUUUUUUUAUUUGUACUUAUGUUUGCAAUGUACCGAGAUGUGGUGUGCUUCUGUGAGGUGUAAAGUGUGUGCAUCUUGAGUGCGAAUAUGGUCACUUCAGUGCAGUUUUGAAGGCUUAACUUUAUGUUCAUGUGUACAGUGGUCUCCAGUUUCUGGCAGAGUCCAGAAUGGACAGGAGCCUAGGACUCGGUCUUUUUCUUUAAACUGCAAGCUCAUCUUUCCUUCUUGCAAAAUACACAGAUUUAAACUUCUCAUGGAAUAGAUUAGAGUACUGGGUCACAUUAGUACUCAGAGAAAUAUCUCAACUGCUACUGUAUUCCUAAAUUACAAUGACAAAACACUUGGUUACUUUAUAGAUGGCCUUUUGGCUGGUUCUGCUGUGAUAAAGUAUCUUGAGUACAUUAACAAAACCAACUGCUUUCUUCAAUUUUAACAGUAUCACAUAUGAAAUUUGUGAGAAUGAUUAGUGUGGAGGUUGGUAAAGAACUAUUUUAUGUGGUCCAAUAUUAAGAGUUUAUUAAUAGACUUUCCUGUCCAUAUUGGACUGCUCAUAGGUUUGGGUAGGUGAUGAUACAUUAAUUAUCAGGGAAGAACAAAAUCCACUGCAAGGUUGGUACCAUAACUCUUAAUUUUGGUGCCCAGCACUUCUCAUUUUGAUGCUGCUCAUAACAAUAUCAGUCCCAGUUAUAUAUAGGAAAAUAUAAUUACAUAGCAAAGCAAAAUGAAAUUUUGCUUUUUAAUUAACAGCAUAAUGUACUUCCAAGUCUGUUACAAGGUCCCCACCCUGCUAAUCCAACUGAGGUAUGAA